UUAAUGGACUCUUGUAGCUGCACGAUGAAGUUUCAGCCCUUGGCCUGGCAUUUAGGGGUCUACCUGGUGGGGCCCAACCAUAAAAGCCUCAGGUACUGGGACAGCCCUGGUCUAAGGAUUUGGUCCACUCCCAGGGCGAGUCUCCACUGCUGUUCUGGGUCUGUGUUCGUCUCUGCCCUGAGGUUGGAAACUUUGCCUGAUACUUCUCUGCAUCCGUGUGUCAGACACAGUUGUUGUCUCAAUAAAUGUUGAAUGAAUGAGUCAAUCAAUGAACAUACCCUCAAAGUUAGGCAAACUCCUCUGGCACUACUUCCAUUUUCAGAUGAAUAACCUGGAGUCGGAAAGGGCCAUCUGCAAAUUCCAUUUGGACAACAUCACCAUCUAUCACAUCGUAACUUAGAAUGUACCAAUCAGAGAUAGCUUGUGGCUGAACUGCUGGCAACGACAGAGAUCGACCAGGCUGCCCAGCAGAAGGAAACUUCUAUGCUCUCAGACACUCAUUUUGUGGACCACUUCACUCAUUUGCACCACCUGUAGUUACUGCUGCCAAGGCUGCCCCUGGAAGAAGCCAUGAAAUGAAGAGUGGCCAAGGGGUUGAUUUCAUGGUUAGUAAGCAAGGGUAUGAGCUAAUGUGCAUCCACUACAUAAAGGAUGGCCCUCUAAAUCCUGAAAUCCUUUGCAUAUGCAUGUGGAGAUCAUCAAUAAAAUUCCUACAGAUGGACAGUGAAUGUGGUUUAGGGAAAAGCAAGAGGCAUUUUAUAAGGUCAAGAGCCUGCCAGCCAAGGACACUGGAUUCCUGUUGGAACUCUAAUCAGUUUCUCUCCAAAGCCAAUAUUCAUGCUUGCCUGAUACUUGCUUCUAACCAAACAGGAGGGUAAUUCUCCUGUUGGGGUCCCGAAAGCUUGACAACAUGCCUUGUCUGGCAGCGGGGGAAAGGAGAGCCUCCCUCUGGUUGGAAAUCCUCUUUGGGAGCAUUGGGUAAUGGCAGGGAGAGGUCCUUCCCUCUGGUGAUUGAGAAAUGAGCACAGGGAUGAAAUCCAGGAUCCUGGGCUGGGAAAUCUCCAUAGCAACACGUUCCUGCUCUAACCUUUCUUGGUCCAAAAUUUCCAAACCAGACCUUUCUACAGAACUGUGAGGUGGGAGGAUGUGCUUAUUACUAAGAGAGAG